AUAUGUAGUCUGGCUGGAACCAGAGCGCCCCCUCAAAUGAAUGGGGUCGGGGCUGACAGUGAACUACAGCUCCUCUGGCCGGGAGCGUUGGUGGCGGCGCCGGGCAGAGCGGCGCUCCGGGGAAGGGACGAAGUUCUGUGCCACCGCCAAGGUAGUGGUCUAGGCGGGCGCUUUCUCCGUGCGCGCUCCCCUUCCCCGCGCCCGCUCUUCGCGGUGGGCUUGGUGUUCGCUGGCUGCUGCAGUAACGUGAUCUUCCUGGAGCUCCUGGUCAUGAAUGAAGGCAAUGUCCCUGGACAUGAGCCUGACUGACUGUAGUCUUGGAGAUUCCUGCUCAGGAGGAUAUAGAAAUGUUUCUAGGAGACCUGAGCAUGAGCUGUACAGGCUGACUAGGAUCCUGAAUGAAGUCCUCUUGGUUACGUAAGUGAAGAUCUCAAAAAGGACAUCUGACUGACCAACUGCCUACAGUUUACUAGGAAGGUUGUGUCAUAGUUCCAGGAAGAGUGUAUCAGAGUGGUCCUUCGUGAUGGCCUGGAAGAGUGAAAUAAGGCUUGACGUUCUUCUCUGUGAGGUAUAUUGCUAAAUGUAUGUGAUUCAUGGGACAUGAAAACUGAGAGGACAGUGGGAAGCAUCCAGGAUGCGGGAACAUUGUGACAUUUGCACCAUUUUUAUUUAUUGCUGUGGAAGGCUUCCUCUUUGAAGCCAAUUUGGGGAGGAAGCAGCCAGCUAUCCCAAUAAGGUAUGUACAUUGAAGUCUCUUUUAGCCUUGUUUGUCUUAAAAUAACAUCGCCUAAGAAUCCAGAAACACCAGUC